GUCAAGGGCAGAGUUAGGUCUCUCAACCUCAAACCCCCGGGACCCUCACAAUGUUGCUCCCUUCUAGGGGCAGGUCCUUGCAGGAACUCCCUCAUCUCAAAGGCCUCAUUAUACACUCACAUUUUAAACCACAACCCUGCCAAGUCACAGACACUGGUAACCCCUCUGGGUGUGAAAGACACCAAGUUGGACCUAAAAGAAGUCAGGCUGUGGGUAAAUAAGAAUCAUCAUACAAAUUAAAAGUACAAUCUAAAGGACAAGAACUGUUGGUGCUGCAGGCUAUGGAUGCUCAGACAGCAGAUGCACCAUUACGGAAAUGCAGCUCUGUGACUGAACCGGCCAAUUGCGGAGCUUGGUGCAAUUUGCAGUACUGUUUUCCUGUCACUCAAUCUUCAUGGGCUUUUUGAAGGAGCACAAAAGCAAAACCCAGAACAAAACCCGUCACCUUUCCAGCAGGCCAGGCUGCCAUGUGCAUAGGCGAAGACGAAGCUCCUGAGAAGUGGCUCAUGAUAGCGACAUUACUUACCAUGC